AGUCACUGACAUUAGAUACCCGUGUAGUCCAGGGUGUAAACGCUGCAGACUUGGUGUUGGAAGCCCUUUGGGGGCAUUCAGUGCCGGAGAGAAGUUGUUAAGUCUGCUACUUGGGAGUACGUCCGCAAGGAUGAAACUUAAAGGAAUUGGCGGGGAGCACCACAACGCGUGGAGCCUGCGGUUUAAUUGGAUUCAACGCCGGACAUCUCACCAGAGGCGACAGCUGUAUGAUAGCCUGGUUGAUGACUUUGCUUGACUAGCUG
rnacentral:rRNA from 1 species